UCCGCCAAGAAACAUGCGCGGUCGAUUUCGGUAGUUUCCGGUAUUUUCCCGGAAAUCUCCGAUUCCAUUUAUUGCUGGUUUGUAUCACUUAAUUAUUUUGUUUUUCUUUAAUUAAUGCUAUUUUGGCAAAAACAAGAUUAACGUGCAUCUAAAAUAAUAACAUGAUGGGAAAAUUAUGAUAUUACAAAGUUCUAUAAAUAAAAAAUGUGCGGUGGCGCUAAUUAGCACGUGAUGCAAACAAACCGUUCAACAACAACAACAACAUGAGGAAACAUGCGUGAAAAGGCAAACAAACAAUAUUUGUAAACACGAGAACAACUGCUGGCGGUACACAUUAUAAGAAGAUCACUUUAUUGGACGAGAAGUUGUUACGCCUACAAAUUUCAGGCGUUGCAUCUUGAAGACAGCGAUCACUUCAUGAUCAUUCUCACAGGAAAGUGAAAAGAAAAUGGCCAACAGGGAGUGUAUAUUGGGAAAAUUGAAACCUUUCAAAGCAACUGAUGAGUACUACAAUCUUCUGCCAGAGGACGAAGCAGCAACCCCCAAGUCAUUCACAAGAUUAAAAAAGGGCUAUGAAUUGUUUUUAUGCCCCCGAAGGGAGGCAUGUAGUUUUUGAACCGUCUGUCGGUCCGUCGGUCUGUCUGUCCGCAAUUUUCGUGUCCGGUCCAUAUCUUUGUCAUCGAUGGAUGGAUUUUCAAAUAACUUGGCAUGAAUGUGUACCACAGUAAGACGACGUGUCGCGCGCAAGACCCAGGUCCGUAGCUCAAAGGUCAAGGUCACACUUAGACAUUAAAGGAUAGUGCAUUGAUGGGCGUGUCCGGUCCAUAUCUUUGUCAUCGAUGGAUGGAUUUUCAAAUAACUUGGCAUGAAUGUGUACCACAGUAAGACGACGUGUCGUGCGCAAGACCCAGGUCCGUAGCUCAAAGGUCAAGGUCACACUUAGACAUUAAAGGAUAGUGCAUUGAUGGGCGUGUCCGGUCCAUAUCUUUGUCAUCGAUGGAUGGAUUUUCAAAUAACUUGGCAUGAAUGUGUACCACAGUAAGACGACGUGUCGCGCGCAAGACCCAGGUCCGUAGCUCAAAGGUCAAGGUCACACUUAGACGUUAAAGGUCAUUUUUCAUGAUAGUGCAUUGAUAGGCGUGUCCGGUCCAUAUCUUUGUCAUUCAUGCAUGGAUUUUAAAAUAUCUACGCAUGAAUGUGUGACACAGUAAGACGACGUGUCGCGCGCAAGACCCAGUUCCGUAGGUCAAAGGUCCUAAACUCUAACAUCGGCCAUAACUAUAUAUUCGUUCAAAGUGCCAUCGGGGGCAUGUGUCAUCCUAUGGAGACAGCUCUUGUUUUUUUCUUUUUUUGGC